rnacentral:rRNA from 1 species
UACGUAGGGGGCUAGCGUUGUCCGGAAUCAUUGGGCGUAAAGCGCGUGUAGGCGGCUCGAUAAGUCUGCUGUGAAAGUCCAGGGCUCAACCCUGGAACGCCGGUGGAUACUGUCGAGCUCGAGUCCGGAAGAGGCGAGUGGAAUUCCUGGUGUAGCGGUGAAAUGCGCAGAUAUCAGGAGGAACACCAAUGGCGAAGGCAGCUCGCUGGGACGGUACUGACGCUGAGACGCGAAAGCGUGGGGAGCAAACAGG